CCAGUUCCAGCCGGGAACAAAUAAAAAAAGCAUAGCCAGAACUCUGUUAUAUUCAUAGAGAGAUAUAUAAUAUCAAACGUUUUUGUGUCUAACAAAAGUUCACAGUAGGGAGAAAUUUAGACAACACAAGGAAAAUAUACACCAUUUACCCUUCAUUAUGACAUUUAACAUUUGUCAAUCUUUUUAUUCUAACAUUUGCAAGUUCUCUUCUUGAUGACUUGAAAUGUCUGCCUGUCUGGCGGUAGACAAAGUAACAUACGACUAUAUGUGACCCCUAUCAAUUGUUAUAGGCAAUUCCAGCUUUUAAUUUAUGCAUGCAAUAUAUCAGUUCUUAAUAAACUGAUUUAGUAUAAUUACAUAGGUGAUUAUUGAAAAUUCUCCACGCUGAUUGGUUGCCGUUGAGGUGAUUAUUACGCGAUAAUCACCUAAGCGAUUUUCAAAAUGGCGGCCGAACACCUUUUUGUCACUUAAAUGACGAAGAAAUGUGCAUUUUCUUAUUUUUUCCAAAUAAUAACCUAUGAAAUUAUAUGUUUGCGAUGUUACUCUGCGUGCAUAUCCACACCGGGCGAGCUUGAAAAAUAUGCCCGGCCACGGUGGGAUUCGAACCUACGACCUUUGGAAUACUAGCCCAAUGCUCUUCCAACUGAGCUACGCGGUCAGGACGGUUCGAGUAAGUGAUAUUUCGGAACAGUGUCUAGUUCCUUCAAUACCAAUGUGUUCUUGUAAUAUGAAUUUUUUCUGUGUUGGUGUUGUGUACUCAGGUGAAUAAUAUGUUUGCGAUGUUACUCUGAGUGCAUAUCCACACCGGGCGAGCUUGAAAAAUAUGCCCGGCCACGGUGGGAUUCGAACCUACGACCUUUGGAAUACUAGCCCAAUGCUCUUCCAACUGAGCUACGCGGUCAGGACGGUUCGAGUAAGUGAUAUUUCGGAACAGUAUCUAGUUCCUUCAAUACCAAUGUGUUCUGGUAAUAUGAAUUUUUUCUGUGUUGGUGUUGUGUACUCAGGUGAAUAAUAUGUUUGCGAUGUUACUCUGAGUGCAUAUCCACACCGGGCGAGCUUGAAAAAUAUGCCCGGCCACGGUGGGAUUCGAACCUACGACCUUUGGAAUACUAGCCCAA